rnacentral:rRNA from 1 species
UGGUAUGACUGGUCUCGCUGAUUCCUCCUUUCUGAAGAACUGUAAUGUCAUUAAUUUGGUGUUGCAGGGAAACAGGACUGUUACUUUGAAAAAAUUAGAGUGUUUAAAGCAGGCUAACGCUUGAAUACAUUAGCAUGGAAUAAUGAAAUAGGACGUUCGAUCCUAUUUUGUUGGUUUCUAGGAUUGACGUAAUGAUUAAUAGGGAUAGUUGGGGGCAUUAGUAUUCAAUUGUCAGAGGUGAAAUUCUUGGAUUUAUUGAAGACUAACUACUGCGAAAGCAUUUGCCAAGGAUGUUUUCAUUAAUCAAGAACGAAAGUUAGGGGAUCGAAGACGAUCAGAUACCGUCGUAGUCUUAACCAUAAACUAUGCCGACUAGGGAUCGGAUGAUGUUAAUUUUUUAAUGACUCAUUCGGCGCCUUACG